AUGGCGCGCGUAGCACUGGUGCUCACAAUUUGCUUCUUGGGAUUCUCCCCGUCCCUCGCGUGGUCCUCCAAAUCCAACCACACCGACUUCCUCUCGUGCUUCUCCACCAAAAUCCCCAGCCAGCUCGUGCUCACGCCGAGCUCCCGCUCCUUCAAGCCGCUCCUGGUGUCGUCCAUCAGGAACGCCAGGUUGGUGGCGCCGGCGACGGCGAGCCCCCCGCUCUGCAUCGUGACGCCCACCCAGGCGUCCCACGUCCAGGCCGUCGUGCGCUGCGGGCGCAGCCACCGUGUGCGCGUCCGCGUGCGCAGCGGCGGGCACGACAACGAGGGCCUCUCGUACCGAUCGGCCACCCCGAACGGCGAGGCGUUCGCGGUGAUCGACCUUUCGAAGUUCCACGGCGUGCGCGUGGACGCGCGCGCGGCCACCGCGUGGGUCGACUCCGGGACGACGCUCGGGGAGCUCUACUACCGCGUCGCCACGGGGGCGCCCGGGCUGGGUUUCCCGGCUGGCGUGUGCCCGACCGUCGGCGUGGGGGGACUCAUCAGUGGCGGAGGCAUGGGUCUGAUGAUGCGCAAGAACGGCCUCUCCUCCGACAACGUCCUCGACGCCACCAUGAUCGACGCAGAGGGCAACCUCCUGGCGGACAAGAAGGCCAUGGGGGACGACCUCUUCUGGGCCAUCCGCGGCGGCGGUGGCGGGAACUUUGGCAUCGUGCUGUCGUGGAAGCUGAGGCUCGUGCCCGUCCCACCCAAGGUGGCCUUCUUCAAUGUCACCAAGACCAUGGACCAGGGCGCGGUCGACGCGGUCACCAAAUGGCAGACGAUCGCGCCGGCGCUCCCCGAGGACCUCAGCGUGCGUGUCGUCGUCCAGAAGCGCCAGGCGACCUUCCAGUCCCUGUACCUCGGCAACUGCAGCGCGGUGGUGGCGACGAUGCGCAGCCGGUUCCCGGAGCUCGGCUUGACGCGCCGCAAGUGCAAGGAGAUGAGCUGGCUGCAGCACAAGGCGUACCUAUACUUCGGCGACGCCAGCAACAACACGCCGCUGGAGGCGCUCCUUCUCAACCGGUCCAUGACCAUAGGCCCAUUUGUGAAGAACAAGUCCGACUACGUCAAGAAGGCCCUCACCAGGGACGCAUGGGAGAAGAUCUUCCUCUGGCCCGAUGGCGGGGCGGUGGGGCAGCUCAUCCUGGAGCCGCACGGCGGAAUGAUGAACCGCAUCGCCGAUGACUACACGCCCUUCCCGUACCGGAGCAGCGUGCUUUACAAUAUCCAGUACGUCGAGUUCUGGAACGGCACACGGGCGCACGGCACGCCGAAAUGGCUCAGCGGCCUGUACGACUUCAUGGCGCCGCUGGUCAGCAAGAGCCCGAGGGGCGCGUACGUUAACUACCGGGACCUUGACAUUGGCGUGAACAAGGUGGUCGGUGGCGUGACCAGCUAUGAGACUGCCAAGGUGUGGGGUGAGAGGUAUUUCGGUCUGACAAACUUUAAGAGGCUCGCCAAGAUCAAGCGCAAGGUGGAUGCCACCGACUACUUCCGGAACGAGCAGAGUGUGCCGCCACUUCUCUUGAUCAGGGAACGAGCUUAA
rnacentral:rRNA from 1 species